rnacentral:rRNA from 1 species
CCUANGUGGGGCAGCAAUUAGGAAUCUUGCACAAUGGGCGAAAGCCUGAUGCAGCGACGCCGCGUGAAGGAUGAAGGCCUUCGGGUUGUAAACUUCUUUUAUCGGGGAAGAAAAAAAUGACGGUACCUGAUGAAUAAGCCCCGGCUAACUACGUGCCAGCAGCCGCGGUAAUACGUAGGGGGCGAGCGUUGUCCGAAGUUACUGGGCGUAAAGCGCGCGUAGGCGGACCUUUAAGUCGGGGGUGAAAUCUCAAGGCUCAACCUUGAAACUGCCUUCGAAACUGGAGGACUUGAGGUAUGGAGAGGGAAGUGGAAUUCCUGGUGUAGCGGUGAAAUGCGUAGAUAUCAGGAGGAACACCCGUGGCGAAGGCGGCUUCCUGGUCAUAUCCUGACGCUGAGGUGCGAAAGCUAGGGGAGCGAACGGGAUUAGAUACCCUANUANUC